AAAAUCUUAAGUUAAAAUAAACUAUUAUCGUUCAAAGAUAACAUUAUCUUUUUGAUAGAUUUUG
rnacentral:tRNA from 1 species